AUUGACGGGGGCCCGCACAAGCGGCGGAGCAUGUUGCUUAAUUCGAGGCAACGCGAAGAACCUUACCUGGGUUUGACAUUUAGGGAAAAGCCACAGAGAUGUGGUGUCCUUCGGGGCCCUAAACAGGUGGUGCAUGGCUGUCGUCAGCUCGUGUCGUGAGAUGUUGGGUUAAGUCCCGCAACGAGCGCAACCCUUGUCCUAUGUUGCCAGCACGUAAUGGUGGGGACUCGUAGGAGACUGCCGGGGUCAACUCGGAGGAAGGUGGGGACGACGUCAAGUCAUCAUGCCCCUUAUGUCCAGGGCUGCAAACAUGCUACAAUGGCCGGUACAGAGGGCUGCGAGACCGCGAGGUUGAGCGAAUCCCACAAAGCCGGUCUCAGUUCGGAUUGGAGUCUGCAACUCGACUCCAUGAAGCUGGAGUCGCUAGUAAUCCCGGAUCAGCAACGCCGGGGUGAAUACGUUCCCGGGCCUUGUACACACCGCCCGUCACACCACGAAAGUCGGAAACACC
rnacentral:rRNA from 1 species